rnacentral:rRNA from 1 species
UAGGGAAUCUUCCGCAAUGGGCGAAAGCCUGACGGAGCAACGCCGCGUGAGUGAUGAAGGUCUUCGGAUCGUAAAACUCUGUUAUUAGGGAAGAACAAAUGUGUAAGUAACUAUGCACGUCUUGACGGUACCUAAUCAGAAAGCCACGGCUAACUACGUGCCAGCAGCCGCGGUAAUACGUAGGUGGCAAGCGUUAUCCGGAAUUAUUGGGCGUAAAGCGCGCGUAGGCGGUUUUUUAAGUCUGAUGUGAAAGCCCACGGCUCAACCGUGGAGGGUCAUUGGAAACUGGAAAACUUGAGUGCAGAAGAGGAAAGUGGAAUUCCAUGUGUAGCAGUGAAAUGCGCAGAGAUAUGGAGGAACACCAGUGGCGAAGGCGACUUUCUGGUCUGUAACUGAAGCUGAUGUGCGAAAGCGUGGGGAUCAAACAGG